UAGAAAAUUUAAAAAUUCUAUUUGAAAAAAUGUAAUAUAUCAUUUUAAAAAUAUACAAACACUAUAGACAUACAUUUCUUGAACUCAAAAAUAAAUAAAAGCAGAAAUUAUACAUAGCAGUUUUAAAGCAACAAACUUUAGCUUAGUUUAAAUACAGUGCAUUUUCUAUUAAAAUUAUCAGAAGUAUCUUAUUUUCCUUUCCUUUCUUUAUCUCUCUCUUGUUUUAAUGUUACUUGUAUAUGCACCUUUAUGCAUGAAUAUGGGUAGAUCUAUUAAUGAAGAAAUACAUCAUCUUAAAACGUGUAUGUUGCUUUGUUUUUAUAAUCAAUGUGAAUCAGAUUUAUCAGUGCUUAAGGUCAGGAAUUAUUUUAAACUCGGCUACAGAGCCAUGGAAGCUGCUCAUAAAGUUCUUGAAGUAAAACUAUCAGAUAACAACCCAGAAAUGGUUCAAAUCCUUUGCGAUUGGUGGUUUCUUGCUUCAUAUUAAGGCUAGAUGUAGCAGGUCAUCAGUCACUGAUUUUUGACACUGAGCUGCACUCAACUAUUACUUAAUACUUGAAAAUUUACAAUAGACUCUAGAUUAUCUAAGGAGAUUAGAUUAAUUAGAUUACACAUGUCAUGCAUUACCCAAGCUGAAGAAGCAUACAGAAAUUGCAAACUGUUUUCCUGCCCUCAUUAUAGAACAAGUAAGUAAAUGAGUGAAAUUUGCAAAAUUUUCCUUGAAAACCUUUUGGAUCUGCAGUUUUUCCAAAUAUAUAAUAACAUAUGACAAGAAAAAGGUUUACAUCAAUUAGAAACAAUGCAUAGAUUGGGGGGGGGGAAAGUAAUAGAAUUUGAUGCAAAGCAGCAAUAAUUAGACGGAAAGGUUAUGCUCAAUAGUUGGUGGAAUUAAGUAAAAACAAAAUUAAAAAUUAUAAGUUGUCAUGCUGAAAUUUAUGUUUAAUAGGGGUUUUCACAGAUGACCUGUCUGCUUCGCCAGCUAGAGCUGGAAUGAAUGGUUGGAUCAAGUUACCCUUCUUUUACUGUUUCCUACAGGGUUACUUGGCAUAUGAUGCUGUAUUUCUCAGGAUUUCAGAUAAAGAGCAGACUAAAAGGAAAUUCUCUGUUGCAACACAGUCUAGUGACAUUAUUAGCACAUGUCUGAUUUCAAGGUGGCUUUUAUGCUGGGAUUUACUGAUGAUUUUUGGUAUUUUCUAUUCAGUUACUGAGUUUGAAUGCUUUAAGAAGUAUUUACUAAAGAUGUACUAUUUUAAGCAUGAGCAUUAACUCAUGCUCAUCAACUCUUGCAUGAUAUUUAGUGACAGGAGUACACUAGCAUUUUUUUUUUCUCAAAAUGUCCAAGUCCAGCUCGAUUGAUGUUAUCUGCAGUUGCACUUCAUAUUCUGCAUUUUAUUUGUCUCGGUAUUUAUUUUGUAGCCAUGUAUGCUGAGAAAGAUUUUUCACUUAAAUACAUUGUUCCGAACGGCAUUAAAAUGUUUAUAACGGUGUAAGAAGCUUCUAGGUAUUCCGCAUGAAUCUGCAACCAAAAAUUUAUGAGCUGCUCUUGCCUAAAUGUAGAUUUUAAUGUCGAAUCCAUUGAUAUCUUGAUAAAUUGCUCCCUUUACUUCAAUGGCAAGCCUUCUGAUUUAUCAUAGUACUCGAACGGACUUUUUAUACAAUAAUAUUCAGUUUUUUUCCUUCUGGGAAAUACUCUUUUAUGGUUUCCUUCAAAUGAAAAAGAUGCUCCGUUAUAUAAUUUUUAAAACAGUCAUCUAAAUGUAAUUCAUUUUGCAUUAGAGAACUGUUUAGUUUUCUAAAGCACUGUCUUUCAUUUUCGUUGACUUAUAUUUUACCGUAGGCAGGUAAGCAAAUGCCUAGGGUAGCAAAACCAACUGAAAUACCAAUAUAUAUAUACAUAAGAAAUUAGAAUAUAGUCUAAGUUCAGUUUAUAAAAAAUACAAAAUAAUAGCAAGUUCAAAAUUAGCGCCUAGUGCUGCUUAAUUUUUAAAUGAAUUUAAAAAGUCAAGAUCAAAAUACCUAACAAAAGCUGUAAGAAUAUUUGGACUCUACCUAUCUCUGUUUCCGAAAUACAUUGCAAAAGAAAUUUUUCUUAUAGUGAACAAAAUGGAACAAUAAACUUUAGAAAAGAAGUUGCUAAAUACAUUAAAAUGGCAGCCUAGAAGUAUAAAAAACAUAGGUUUAUCUCUUUUGUGGUUUGAAGCUUCAUAACACUUUUUUCCCUUGACAAGUUCUGUUUGAAACUCUGAAUAAAAGAGAUUAACCUAUGUUCUUGAUACUCCUAGCUUGUCAUUUUAAUGUAUUUAGCAAUUUUGGUUAUUCGGAGAUGAUUUUUUUUAUAUUCUGAGAUGUACAGUAGACAAGAAGAGACACUUUUCCAAGUUCUGGGUGUCCAAUAAAACAGAGUAAGAUUGAAAACAAUGUCUUAUCUAUGCAAUAGCAUCCAUGGGGUCCAUUUGGAUUGUUAUAGUGAUACAGUUUAUGUAACAAUUACAGAAUAGUGGAUUAGAAAAGUGCUUUUUUGAGGUGCAUUAGUAUUGUUUGUGCCAUCUGCAUGUUUAAUAUCCUAAGUUCACUCAACGACUUUAAACACAGAAUCACAGAAUUUAAAAAAAUGGAGAACAUAUAUCAAGAUAUUAUCUGGUAUAUUCAGUGUCAAAAGAUUCUGUUAUGUUUUUGUUGCAGACAUUUUGGUAAUUCAAAACUAAAUUCAUUUUUAAAUGAAGGUUAAAAUACUGGUGAGAUAUUAAGAAAGCAUGAAGACUCAAAAACUCAUAAAAAUAAUUUGAAAUCAUGGAUAGAGCUGGAAUUAAGUUUGAAAACUAGUCAGACAGCAGAUUCAGCUGAAUAAAGAUUAAUUAAUUCUGAAAUUAAAUAUUGGAGUGAAGUAAUUUUAUGCAUAAUAUAAUAUCACAUACAGUUAUUAAACUAUACAGUUAUAUCACAUAUAGUUAUUAAACUAUACAGUUAUAACAGUUAUAUAGUUAUUAAAUUGCUUGUUGAAAGUUCUCUACUUUCUCAGGGUAAAAGUGGCAAGCUUUAUGAACAUAAUAAUGGAAAUUUUGUGAAGCUAAUUCAAUUGCUAGCUGAAUUUGAACCAAAAAUAGAGGAAUAUAUUUGUAGAAUCCUCAAUAAUGAAGAAGAAGCAACAUAUUUAGGAAAAUAAUUCAAAAUGAAAUUAUUGGAUGAUAACAUAUUGUAUUAUUUGAAAUAAAUCUACGUUUCUAUGAAUAUUGAUUUUUUUUUUCAGCCCACCUAAAGUUAAACCUUGUUUGUUUGGCCCAAGUGUACCUAUGAGUUUGACAUCCUUGCUGUAGAGUAUAAAUACGACUAUUAUGCCCACUGCUUUCUAGUCUUGCAGAUUUCUUUGCUCCUGAUGACGAUGGGCCUGUACCUGUCUUCCCUCAAAAUCCAUUGAGAUCUUGACUUAAAUCUACCUCAAACUCAAGAACACAGUUUUAAGACCAUUGAUAUACAGCCUUACCAUAUCAGCAGAUGGACCCCAACCCUCCUCCGGAUCAUCUAUCUCUGGUGAUAUAGGAAGAUAAAGAAGGGCUGAAGUGUCAGAUGCUUCCUCAUCACUAAACAGAAGAACAUUGGUGAAAAUUUCAGAAACUCUGAUCUAUAUUACAAUGAUAAUAUAUUCCAGUAUCUUAUGCUGAAUGUAUAUACAGAAUAAUAUAUAGUUUUUCUUAUGCUUAAAGAAUGAUUAGAUAAAUGUAUGAAUAAUUUAGUCAAUAAAUAACAAAUUUAUAAUGUAUAUAGAAAUGAUUAUAGAUUAGAUAGACAGACUUGAAAAAUAAAUAUAUGAACAAACCCCCCUUCAGUCAAUUAAA
rnacentral:lncRNA from 1 species